rnacentral:rRNA from 1 species
UGGGGAAUCUUCCGCAAUGGACGAAAGUCUGACGGAGCAACGCCGCGUGAGUGAAGACGGCCUUCGGGUUGUAAAGCUCUGUGAUCCGGGACGAAAGAGCCUGAGGUGAAUAGCCUAAGGAAGUGACGGUACCGGAAAAGCAAGCCACGGCUAACUACGUGCCAGCAGCCGCGGUAAUACGUAGGUGGCAAGCGUUGUCCGGAAUUAUUGGGCGUAAAGCGCGCGCAGGCGGCUUCCUAAGUCCAUCUUAAAAGUGCGGGGCUUAACCCCGGGAUGGGAUGGAAACUGGGAAGCUGGAGUAUCGGAGAGGAAAGUGGAAUUCCUAGUGUAGCGGUGAAAUGCGUAGAGAUUAGGAAGAACACCGGUGGCGAAGGCGACUUUCUGGACGAAAACUGACGCUGAGGCGCGAAAGCGUGGGGAGCAAACAGG